rnacentral:rRNA from 1 species
AUGACAUUAGCUUCUCCUUUAUUACUAUAUUUCAUCAGUUUAUUGGAAAUCGAAAUAUCACUUGAAACUUCUAUGCUUGUGGCACCUUUGAUAUUUAGUUCAUUGGUCUUUUAUAUGCUGGUGAUGGAGGCAAAUCCUCUUGAGCUGAAAGUCGUAAAUUAUCCUUUUGAGUUGUUGCUUUCUGCAAGUACAUCAAGAUUCUUAAUAUUUGUACCGCGACUAAUAUUUGAACUUCUACUUUACCCAAAACUCUCAGAGGUGUAG